rnacentral:sRNA from 1 species
GCCACACCAGUGACCUUUUCUAUUUCCUAGUAAACAAACUUCAUGAGUACUUGCCGGAGUCUAGGGAUAAGAAUGCACUACAAAAUCAAAGCCAAAGGGUUGAUGAGCUGGUGGCAUGCAUUGAAAUUAUACAGACCCUAGUAUUGAUGUUCAGAGAAACAGAAACUGAGUCAUCACGCCUGAACACAUUGGCAGCUAAGAAUUACAGAAGCUUAUUCUGGAGUAUACAAAUACUGCUACAGCACUUUUAUAUGAGAUACUUCUUGUCUUUCAGCAGGGAAAUCUCGGAUUGGGAUCCACAAAGUUUGCUAUUAGCUGGAUAAUGUCCUUUCUACAAAGCUGUCCUCCCAUCAUUACUUUUGUGGCCAGUAUUGUGAAACAAGUGGUGAGGGGUCUUUCAGCUUCAUUUCAGCUGCUAAGUCCCUGCCAAGCAGUUCUGUUGUACCAGCAAUUUUACAUCCUCAAGAGCUGUCUGCGGCACAGCAGGACUCUAGCUGAGUAUAUUAGGAAUAACUACAGAGAAGAAUUCAGGUACUUUAUUCACAUGCCAGCCUUGCAGAAAAGGCUCCCAUUGUGUUACCCCAUCACUCAACCUACCACUCAACUUUUUCAUGAAGUUCUGAAAUUGGUUGAAUAGAAACAAACAAUGUACGCAAUGUUAAUAAGAGUAUAAAAUGUUAAUCAAGAGUCAACUUGAUAUUCACGAGAACCAUUUUUUUAUUUGUUUAAUAUCUGGCUAUCUCUGAGUCCUAUAAAUAAAGAUUUUAAUUGAAUGUUCCAUCAAUACCUCUCUAUGAGAAGUUUAAAAUUUUAAAAAAUAAAUUUGCUUUAUUAUAA